ACACUGCAGACACUCGCCCACUGUCACUGCUCCACAGCCAGAGGACAGAGGCAGCAGCGGCAGCAGAGGAAGCGGAUACGAUGGAGGAGGACGACUGUACCAACCAUCUGCAGCUCAGUCCCCGUCACUGACAGCCUCCCUCGGGACCAUCCUGCCAAGUUGGGAACAAAACUACACUCUUGUCCUUCACAACACCAAGUACUGGACCCUCAACUCCUGCAGGAACACUGUGCACAAGAUCAUCAUUAUUUUUCCCGCUCUUGCACUCCCGCACACUUACUCACACACCUUCUCUCAAACUGAAGCACACUUCACUCUGCCUAUUGGACUAGCGAGUUUUUUGUUGUUUUUCAUCAUCGCUGCCUUCCGAGCUGAGUGGAUUUACUUUUAUCCUGUGGAGGACCAUGGGGCUGGGGUGGAGGGGUACAGGAGGGACCAUCCAAAAAAGGACAGAGGAGAGCUGGUACCAUUUGGUGGCAUUGCUGCUGUUGUGUGGUUUCUGGGAGGCUCACACACAGACAGAUGAUGGGAAGUCUGUCUACUUCUGGGAAACAGGUCCAUGGGGAAGAUGUAUGGGCAGCGACUGCGGCCUGGGUGGCAGCCAAAGCCGGGCAGUCUGGUGUGCCCAUGUGGAUGGCUGGACAACACUUCACACCAACUGCGACCAGGCCCAGCGUCCCUCAAACCAGAGAAACUGUUUCCGUGUGUGCGACUGGCACAAGGACCUUUAUGACUGGAAACUGGGUGCCUGGAAUGAGUGCGUGCCAGUAUCAGCAAGGACCUUUGGGGCCCCACGGCAGUUCACGUGCAGUGGAGGCGAAGAGGGCAUUCAGACCCGGGAGGUGGGCUGCAUACUCAAGUCAGACGGAUCUCCAGCAGAGGAUGCCAUCUGUGAGUACUUUGAACCCAAGCCUCGUCUAGAGCAGGCAUGUUUGAUCCCUUGCCCUCAGGAUUGUGUGGUUUCUGAGUACUCGCCAUGGACAUCCUGCUCCAAAACGUGUGGAACAGGCCUCAGGAACAGAGUACGCAGUGUCCUAGUCCCUCCGCUUUUUGGAGGCGCUGCCUGUCCCAACCUAACUGAGUUCCAGUCUUGCAAACCAGGGCCUUGCACAGGUCCAGAGGGCAUGUACAGUCUCAGGGUUGGACCGUGGAGCCCUUGUGCCCUCCCGCAGACUCGGACAGCUCGCCAAGUUAAACGCAGGAAAGGCAAAGGGCAGGGGCUCCGAGAGAGGGCAGGAGUAAAAGAUCCCGAGACUAGGGAGCUUAUCCAGAAGAAGCGUACCAGGAACCGCCUCAACCGGCAAGAGAGUCCCUUCUGGGACAUUCAGGUGGGCUACCAGAAUCGGGAGGUGACCUGCAUCCAUAGGAAUGGGAGCACUGUGGGACGCAACAUGUGCUUAACAAGGGACCUUCCAUUGACCAUCCAGUCAUGCGUUCUCCCCAAGGACUGCAAGCUUACAGACUGGACCAUUUGGAGCCCCUGCACCAAAACCUGCAUGAACCCUGAAUCUCCCAGAGGCAAUCGGACUCGGACCAGACAGGUGCUCCAGUUCCCCGUGGGCGAGGGGGCGGAGUGCCCACCCCUGGAGGAGUUUGAGUCUUGUGAACCUCAGGGUGAAUCCAUACCACCCUGUGCCACUUACACCUGGAGAACCACAGAGUGGAGCGACUGUCGGGUUGACACGUUGCUGAGCCAACAAGACCGUCGACGUAGCAACCUGACAGGGCUUUGUGGAGGAGGCUUACAGACGAGAGAAGUGUACUGUGUUCAGGCCAACGCUGAGCUUUUAAAAUACCUCAAUGACCUUCGAGAAAAGGACAAAGCGGGUCAGACCCAAAAACAGCAGAAGCCUAGUGUCCCCCCUCUUCUCUCCAUCACCUUCCAGAUUACAGCCUCCCGCCCAGUGGAAAACAAGCUGUGCGAAGGUCCAAUCCCCAACAGAUCCCAGCUGUGCCAAAUCCCCUGUCCCAUCGACUGUGAGGUAUCACCAUGGGGUGCCUGGGGGCCCUGCACCUUUGAAAACUGUGAUGAUCAGGCUGGAAAGAAAGGUUUCAAGCUGAGGAAACGACAGAUUACAAACGAGCCAACGGGAGGUCCUGGAAACUGUCCACACCUUGUGGAGGCGGUGCCAUGUGACGAGCCCACUUGUUACGACUGGCAGCUGAUCAGUCUGGAUCCGUGUAUUCCUGAUGAUGGGAAGCAGUGUGGCUCCGGCACCCAGAUCGUGCAGGUCCAAUGUGUCAACAGCAACGGAGAGAAGGUGGAUAGAAAUCUCUGCACGUCUAACCCACCUCCAGAACCUGUGCCCUGUGAGGUGCCUUGCUCAAGAGACUGUGUGCUCAGUGACUGGACGUCCUGGUCCACUUGCUCUCAGACAUGCUCGAGCAAGACCAUUGAGGGCAAGCAGAUGAGGACCCGCUCUAUUCUGGCCUACAACGCUGGGGAAGGUGGCGCCGUCUGCCCGAACAGCAGCGCCCUUCAGGAGGUUCGGAACUGUAAUGAACACCCCUGCACAGUUUACCACUGGCAGACGGGGCCCUGGGGCCCUUGCACUGAAGACCCCUCGACCUCCUCCUUCAACGCUUCUGUGGGGGUCCGGCCCAAUAGUGACGGCGAGGUUCCCUGCUCCAUGGGAAUGCAGACUCGCAAGGUCAUCUGUGUCCGAGUGAAUGUGGGCCAGGUGCCACCCAAGAAGUGUCCAGACGGUCCUCGCCCAAGCACGAUGAGACCCUGCCAGCUGCCCUGCAAGAAGGACUGUAUCAUGACUCCAUUCAGCGACUGGGCAACGUGUCCAAUUACAUGUGAUGCAGCUGGUAUUGCUGUGAAGAAAAAGCAAUCAAGGAAACGUCUUAUCAUCCAGAUGCCAUCCAACGGAGGACAGGAAUGUCCAGAGGUUCUCGAAGAAGAGAGGGACUGCGAGGUCCCCAAAAUCUGUCCCGGUUUCAGGUGGAAAACCCACAAAUGGAGGAAGUGCCAGCUGGUCCCCUGGUUUCUUAGACAGGACACUCCGGGUGCACAAGAGACCUGUGGACCAGGGCUUCAAACACGAGCCGUGUCCUGCCGCCAGCUGGACGGGACACAGGCCGAUAUCAGUGAGUGUCUGAAAUUUGCCAAGGCCAUGCCUGCCAUCACUCAGCGCUGUCAGCUCCCCUGCCAGGAUGACUGCCAGCUGACCAACUGGUCCAAGUUCUCGUCUUGCACAGCUGACUGUGUGGGGGUCCGCACCAGAAAGAGGUCAUUGAUAGGGAGAAGCAAGAAGAAAGACAAGUGCAAGAACACACAAAUGUACCCUCUGAGUGAGACGCAGUACUGCCCCUGUGAUAAGUACAACGCACAGCCAGUGGGGAACUGGUCAGACUGCAUCCUGCCUGAGGGAGGCAGAGUGGAGAGCAUCCUAGGAAUGAAGGUGCAAGGAGACAUCAAGGAAUGUGGACAGGGCUACCGCUACCAGGCCAUGGUGUGCUACGAUCAGGACAACAGGCUGGUGGAGACGUCACGCUGCAACAGUCAUGGUUAUAUUGAAGAGGCAUGCAUCAUCCCCUGCCCUUCAGACUGUAAACUCAGUGAAUGGUCCAACUGGUCACGCUGCAGCAAGUCCUGUGGGAGCGGAGUCAAAGUUCGCUCCAAAUGGCUUCGGGAGAAGCCUUACAACGGAGGUCGGCCGUGUCCUAAACUGGACCACAUCAACCAGGCCCAGGUGUAUGAGGUGGUGCCAUGUCAGAGUGACUGCAAACAGUACGUGUGGGUGGCCGAGCCGUGGAGUGUGUGGAAAGUCAGCAACGUGGAUUUGAAAGAAAACUGUGGAGAAGGUGUCCAGACCAGAAGAGUCAGGUGCAUGCUCAACACGAUUGACGGCCCGUCUGAGCCCGUCGAGGACUACCUGUGCGACCCAGAGGAGAUGCCCUUGGGGGCCAGGGAGAGCCGGCUGCCCUGCCCUGAGGACUGUGUCCUCAGCGACUGGGGCCCCUGGAGUCGCUGCACCCUGCCCUGUACCAGAAGUAACUAUCGAGUGCGCACAGCAUACACCAUUCGACCCCCCAGCGUGGGAAGAGAGUGUCCAGACACGACCGAAAAGGAACCCUGCAGCCUUAACCUCAACUGUUUCAACUACUUCUACAACAUCACAGACUGGAGUACGUGUCAGCUCAGUCCAAACGCUGUCUGUGGCAGCGGCAUCAAAACCCGGAUGCUCGACUGCGUUCGCAGCGAUGGCAAAUCGGUGGAUAUAAAAUUCUGUGAAGAGAUGAAUUUGGAGAAGAAGUGGCAGAUGAACAUCUCCUGUGUGGUCGAGUGUCCUGUCAACUGUCAGCUGUCGGAGUGGUCAGCCUGGUCAGAGUGUUCACAGACCUGCGGUCUAGAAGGUAAGAUGUGGCGACAGCGGUCGGUGGUUCAGGCAUCUCAGGGCGACGGCCGACCGUGCCCUUCUCAGAUGGAGCAGUGGAAACCCUGUCCUGUCCGACCCUGCUACCGCUGGCAGUACAGCCCCUGGUCUGAGUGUCGGGUAGAGAAUGUGGUUUGUGGACACGGCAUGCGCUUCAGGAACCUGUCCUGCUUCGUGUCGGAUGGCGAUGAUGAGGGCAGCCUGGUGGACGAGGAGCUGUGCAGCAGCCUGGAGGUGGCUGUCGACGGAGACAAGCAGAUCAGACUGAAAGAGAGCUGUAUCCUCCCAUGUCCAGGUGAAUGCUACCUGAUGGAGUGGUCAGACUGGAGCUCGUGCGUCAACAUCUGCGCCAAAGAGGCCGGUGUCGACUUUGCCUCGGUUCAGGUCCGCUCACGAGCCGUGCUGGCCCAGGAGCCUGAAAACCUGCAGCUCUGUCCUGACCAGGAGUGGGAGUCUCAGCCCUGCACAGGAGGUGAAUGCUACGAGUACAAAUGGUUCAGCAGCAUUGGCCCAAAUUCCAGCCGGCCUUUGAUCUGGUGUCAGCGCUCAGAUGGACUCAAUGUCACUGGAGGUUGUCCUCCAAUGAACCCUCCAGAGGACAACAGCUCCUGUGACCCGCCCUGCCUCAUGCCAAAGUCUUUCUGCAGCGAGGCUGGUAUUUGCUUGUGCGAGGAGGGCUUCACAGAAGUGCUGUCAUCCACUGGGCAGCUGGACCAGUGUGCCCCCAUCCCCAUCCUGGAGAUCCCCACAGCAGGGGACAAGAAAGGGGAUGUGAAGACCAGUCGUGCCAUUAACCCCACACUGCCCACCACCAUCCAGCCCGGACGCAACGGGCGGACUUGGUACCUCCAGCCCUAUGGACCAGAUGGGAAGCUGAAGAUGUGGGUGUAUGGUGUAGCAGCUGGAGCCUUUGUGCUCCUCAUAUUCAUAGUGUCUAUGAUAUACCUAGCUUGCAGCUACUGUGCUAAGGUGCAUCGCUCACUUAAGGCCCAAGAGUCUGAUGCCAAUGGGACGGCAGUGUGGAUGGGCCAAAAUGCACAUGAGAUGACUUACACCUGCCCUGAUUGCCAAGACCUAGCUCAAAGCAGCAGCAGCUAAAGAGGAUGUGGAGGGUUCACUCCCACCCCGACACACCCGACACACCCUUCAGUAUAAGUACCUGCAAGUCCCUGAGCUUUCCCUGUGACCUUUGUCAAGGUGUCACAUGUCCUGCCUGACUGGCUCAGUGAAGGUGGUGGUCCAGCAAAAAGCCAAAGAGACCUCAGAGACAGAGACAGCAGAAUAACCGACUAAAACCUCUGACUCUCGCCUACGAUGGGGACACGGACAUGUAGUCCUCCACGAGCUGCUUCACCCAGCACUUCACCUGUCACAGAGACCCACUUCAUCACGCCAUUACAGUGAGCGACAUGGAUGUUUUCAGCGUGAAUGGACACGUCACGGAGCGCAGAAAUGACAGGAAAUCCUCUUAGCAGAGACACUGGUGGGGUUUAACCAUUUCAAGUAGAGCUUCAUUCACUCCUUUUUUGUUUUCUCGAAUAUUUUCUUUUUGCAGAGCUAUUAUGACCUCCAGCGUGUUCAAAGAAAUGCCUUUUUUUUGCCCCCUACACACCAGUAUUUCUGUAUUGAAAGACUUGUUUGAGACACUGGAAAUGCUGGGCACAGAAGACAGAACCAGCUCUCCUGCUGUCUUUGAACAUGGCAGCACAGGCUCCAGCUCUUCCCCCGCGCUUUUUCUGCUUGUCCCUAAAAAUGCUGAGUAGCUGGAGGCUUAGGAUGCUCUGACGGUUCGCACGUUGCCAAAAGUCACCGCAGGGAAGAGGAGGAGGGAGAGGAAAAUCUCCAUAAAAAGGUUUGGAUUCCUUUUUCUCAAUCCUCAACUGGGUUUUGACUCAAAUCUCUUUUACGGUCUUGAACAAAAGGGAGGCAUUACUUCUCUCUCUCUCUUUUUUUUUCGGCUUGAUUCAGAGGCACACAGGCCUGUGUUUGUGGGAUAAACCGAUCUGUAUGAUGCUGAUGGAGGAGUAGCCUGCAAUCAGUUGUUCAUGGAAACUACUGCCUGCCUGCCUGCUUGCCUCCACCCUUGCUUUGUUUCAGGCACUACAUUGCACUAUAUUAGUGCAGCAUGAUAUGCACAUGUGACUUCUACUUUCUAUUGCCAUAAAACACUGCCUCUUCCACAGACAAAAAAAAACAAAACAAAAAAAAACAAAGCAGAGGAACAGCUUCAGUCAACAUGAGAACAUUACAAGGGAAGCAACAGCGACAGGAAGGGACGUUUAGACGUGUCACGUUCGACAAAACAGGUGUGAAUCUCAAGUAAAUAUAUGUAUAGAUUUUAUUUCUCACAACAGACUUUUUGGUUGUAGUAAAGUCGCUUUUGUGGUUUGUAGAUUUCGUCUGGUGUCACCACUUUAUUUCUGCCCAGAUGCAACUACGAUAUCAGCAGGUAUUAACUCAUCGCCUGCUUUACAAGUUCUUUUUUAAAUACUUUUUUUUUUUUACUCUUUACAUACAACAGUUCAUGUGCAAACACUCAAAUUUUGCAGUAAGUAAUAAAAAAAAUGGACACUGCAAAAUUUUAAUCAUUCAUGUCAUGCAAAUGUCGUUUCUGCCUUACUGACGAUAACUGAAUACUAACAGUCCUCUAAUACAGUUUAAUACUUGAAUGGGGCAAACGUCGACACUACAGUACGUUUAGACAAAAAAACAAAAAAACAACGAAAUUUUCUUUCGAGGUUAGGUAGAUGGAUCGAACCAGUUUUUAAACUUUUUCAUGUAGUAAGUAUUAUAGGUGCUCUAUUGUUUUCAGUCACAUGAAACGAAGACAAAAUAUUAAAAAGAAAACAAUCUGUACAAACAAAAAGUAUACAAUAUGUUAAUAUAAGAGAACACGCUUCUGAGUUCAACGUAAAAGCAAACUGGUGUGGAGAAUGUUUACUUCUUUUUGUUGGAUUUGUAAAUAACAGCAAUUUUUUUAUUUUUUGGAGAAAAAAAUGAAAGUAUGUGUACAUUUAUUUUGUAUUGCACAGAAAACGUUUAGUUUGAAUAUUGCAAAGUGGGUGUAUGAUAUUGCUGAUUGUUGUUAUCAUGAUGCAAGUUGUAUGUUGUGACAAACAAACAAAAAAGAAAAGCAAAAAGAAGCGGAAAAAGAUGAAGAGUCGGUCAUUUUGUACAGGUUGUUUAUAUGUAUGGGAAGAAAUACUAAAAAUAAAUGCGGACACGGUUGUAAACACACAAA